CAAUAGCGUAUAUUAAAGUUGUUGCGGUAAAAAAGCUCGUAGUUGGAUUUCUACCGAAGAUAGCCGGUCGGGUCUUCGACCUUGUAUCUGGUUUUGUCUUUGGUAUCCUCAUAGGGAACGUUUCUGCGCUUUAUUGCGUGGUGCGGUAUCUAUGACUUUUACUUUGAGGAAAUUAGAGUGUUCACGGCAGGCAAACGCCUUGAAUAUAUUAGCAUGGAAUAAUAACAUAGGAUCUUCGUCCUAUUUUGUUGGUUUCUAGAGCUAAGAUAAUGAUUAAUAGGGAUAAUUGGGGGCAUCUGUAUCAACGCGUCAGAGGUGGAAUUCUUGGAUUGCGUUGCGACAAACUACUGCGAAAGCAUUUGCCAAGGAUGUUUUCAUUGA
rnacentral:rRNA from 1 species